rnacentral:misc_RNA from 1 species
GAAAUGCGAUAAGUAGUGUGAAUUGCAGAAUUCAGUGAAUCAUCGAAUCUUUGAACGCACAUUGCACCCUUUGGUAUUCCAAAGGGCAUGCCUGUUCGAGCGUCAUUUGUACCCUCAAGCUUUGCUUGGUGUUGGGCGUCUUGUCUCCAGUUCGUUGGAGACUCGCCUUAAAGUAAUUGGCAGCCGGCCUACUGGUUUCGGAGCGCAGCACAAGUCGCGCUCUCUUCCAGCCAAGGUCAGCAUCCACAAAGCCUUUUUUCAACUUUUGACCUCGGAUCAGGUAGGGAUACCCGCUGAACUUAAGC